UCAAUCCUAAAUUACCAACUUUUAAUACUUUCUUAAACUAAUAAUUAAAUAUCUUCCAAUCACAUCAUUAGAAUAAUAAUAAAAAAAAUUAUACAUAAUUAACACAUCCAUUCAACUACGUAUUGACAAAAUUUGAAUUAUAGAUGUCAUAUGCAUCUCAUAAACCAUCUAAUAGUACUAGCCAUAACUUUAUUGCAUAAAUCUAAAGUUAUUGAUACAAACCUUGAUUUUACACAAUAAUUGCAAAGUCAUCUCAAAACCUAUAAAAAUAAGCUUAAUAAUUUAAAAAUAAACUUACAAACAAUUCUUCAAUCCAACUCUUUGAUUUCUAAAAUCUCCCCUACUUAUUCCAAAGUAUCUAAUUUAGUAGCUAGAGAUCUGAUUUCAAUCCUAA
rnacentral:lncRNA from 1 species